AGAGCCAAAAAUGAAUGCCUUGGGUGAAAAAGCUGAAGAAGGACGCGAUUGGCUGCGAUAAGCCUCGGUAAGGUGCCAGUAACCGUUAUAGCCGGGGAUCUCCGAAUGGGGGAACCUAUUCUGUAUUACAGAAUGUCCGAAAUGGAUAGCAAGCAUGGGAAGUGAAAUAUCUCAGUACCAUGAAGAAAAUAAAUCGUAAGAGAUUCCCUUAGUAGUGACGAUCGAACGGGGAAGAGUCCAAACUAUAUGAGUGUCAAGGUCCUGACCGUUGCUCAUAUGGGGUUGAGGGGCAAUAGCGAAGCAGUUAGGGAUGCUUCCUAGAGUUACAAAAUUACAUCAUAACAGAACAGUGUGAAAAAGCUGACCAUAGAGGGUUAUAGUCCCUUAAGUGAAAUGGUGUAGUCUCUAGUUAUUGUACCCAAGUAAUGUCAAACACGUGAAAUUUGGCAUGAAUCUGGGCAGACCACUGUCUAAGACUAAAUACUUUUUCACACCGAUAGCGAAUAGUACCGCGAGGGAAAGGUGAAAAGAACCCUGGAAAGGGAGUGAAAUAGAUUCUGAAAUUUUUGGCUCACAAGGGAGUGGGAGCUUCUUUAUGGAGUGACCGCGUACCUAUUGACGAAUGGGUCAGCGAGUUAUUGGUAGUAGCAAGGUUAAGGUACUCUGUACUGGAGCCGUAGGGAAACCGAGUCUGAAUAGGGCGAUAAGUUGCUAUCAAUAGACCCGAAACGAUAUGAGCUACGCAUGGGCAGGAUGAGCCUCGAUGAAAGUCGGGGGGAGGUCCGAACGGUUUGGAGCUGCAAGUCCUUCCGAUGACCUGUGCGUAGGAGUGAAAAGCUCAUCGAAUAUCGUGAUAGCUGGUUCUCCUCGAAACAACUUUAGGGUUGGCCUGUAAUUAUGAUCUUAGAGAGGUAGAGCUCUUAUAGGGCUAGGGGUGUCGAGAGACAUUACCAAACCCUGUUAAACUUCGAAUGCUCUAAGGAAAAUUAUGGAGUUAGACUGCGAGAUUGAAGUUCCGUAGUCAAAAGGGUAACAGCCCAGAUUUCUGAAUAAGGUCCCCAAGAGAUAGCUAAGUGUAAAAAGAUGUGUUUCUGCAUUGACAUCCAGGAGGUUUGCUUAGAAGCAGCAAUCCUUUAAAGAAAGCGUAACAGCUCACUGGACUAGCGGAGAUGCGCUGAAGAUGUAACGGGGCUUAAGCUAUCCACCGAAUUCGAAGAUCUCUUGUGUAAACAAGAGGUGGUAGAGGAGUGUUCUUUUAGGGGUGAAGCUAGUGUGUGAACACUGGUGGACUAAAAAGAAGUAAAAAUGCUGACAUAAGUAACGACUAUUGGCGAAAAUCCAGUAUACCUAAAGCCUAAGGAUUCCUACGCAAUGUUCAUCAACGUAGGGUUAGUCGAGACCUAAGAUGAAGCCGAAAGGCGCAGUCGAUGGAUGACUGGUUAAUAUUCCAGUACUUGAUAAAAGAGUGAAGUGGUAACACAUUGGGAUUUGUGCGAGCUCAUUAAGGAUUUGAGUUUAAGACAUAAAGCGAUUUCGAUUUAUCGAAAGUGUGCUGUAGGAAAAUCCGCAGUAUAUUCAAGUUGAGUGUCGAAUAAGAGGUUCAGCAAUGGAUCGAUUCGCAUCGUUCUGGUGUCAAGAAAACCCACUAGCGUUAAUUUUUUAUCAACUCGUACCGAGAUCAGACACAUGUAGGCACGUUGAGAAUACGAAGGUAAUCGAGACAAUUAAUGAAUAAGGAACUUGGCAAAUUAACGGACGUAACUUCGGGAUAAGUCCUGCCCUGUAGAAAUACAGGGUCGCAGCGAAAGAAAUGGGGGGGACUGUUUAUCAAAAACACAGCUCUCUGCUAACACGUAAGUGGAUGUAUAGAGGGUGAUGCCUGUCCAAUGCCAGAAUGUUAAGCUCGCUUGUGCAAGCUCGUGAGUUAAGCACUGGUCAAUGACGGCCGUAACUAUGACGGUCCUAAGGUAGCGAAAUUCCUUGUCGGGUAAGUUCCGACCCGCAUGAAAGGCAUAACCAUCUCCAUACUGUCUUAUUCUUAAUCUCGGUGAAAUUACACUUCCGGUAAAAAUGCCGGAUAGUUACAGUUAGACGGAAAGACCCUGUGAAGCUUUACUGUAAGUUGGUAUUGUAAUGUGGCCUAUGAUACUCAGCAUAAGUGGGAGACUUUGAAGUCACGACUUUGGUCGUGUGGAGUCGUCAGUGAGAUACCAUUUAUUGUAUGUAGCAUUACUAACCCCGCAUAGCGGGGGACAUUGCCAGCCUGACAGUUUACCUGGGGCGGGUGCCUCCUAAAAAGUAACGGAGGCGUACAAAGGUUUGCUUGGUACGGAUGGAAACCGUACUGGACGUAUAUUCGCAAAAGCAAGCUUAACUGUGAGGUUUACAGACCGAACAGAUAGGAAACUAGGUGAAAGUGAUCCGGAUUUUCCAUGUGGAAGGGAAUCCGCUCAACGGAUAAAAGCUACUCCGGGGAUAACAGGCUAAUGGUUUCCAAGAGUUCAUAUCGACGAAACCGUUUGGCACCUCGAUGUCGACUCAUCACAUCCUGGGGCUGUAGAAGGUCCCAAGGGUUGGGCUGUUC
rnacentral:rRNA from 1 species